UAGGAUUUAAAAUUUGGUUGGGAUUUGAUUAGAAUUUGAUUUAGGAUUUAGGAUUUGAUUAGGAUUUGGUUGAAGAUUUAAAGUUUAAUUAAGGUUUUAUUUAGGAUUUAAGAAUUGGUUAGAUUUUGAGUUAGGAUCUAGGAUUUGUCAAGGAUUUGAUUUAAGAUUUAGGAUUUAGUUAGAAUUUAGCCUAAGAUUUGAUUGAAGUCCAUUAAGGUUUUAAUUAGGAUUAAAUUAGAAUUUGAUUGAGAUUUAUUUAAAAUAUAUUUGUGAUUAUUUUAAGAUUUUUUUAGGAUUUCUUAAGGAUUCUUUUAAGUUUUAUUUUAGUUUUUUUUUUUAAUUCUUUUAAGAUUUCUUAUUGUUUUAUUUGUAAUUUCUUUAAGUUUCUUUUGAAUUUGAUUAAAGCUUAUCUAGCAUUGUUAAGAUUUGAUCAGAGUUUAUUUAAUAAGGUGGUUUUGAAUCAUAUAUAAUAGUAGCAAUGCAUGGUAAUGCUACAAAUUUGUUUUAUGAGUUGAAUGGUAUGAUAUUGAAGAUGUCUAAGGUUGAAAAGUAGAUCAAGACAUUAAAAAGAAGAGAUGGCAGAUUUAUUUCAAAUAAU
rnacentral:lncRNA from 1 species